AGCAUCCUGAGCAGCUGGGAUUACAGGCAGGCGCCACCAUGCCCAGCUGGAGACCAUGCCCUCCUCUCUCAUCUGGAUCUCAGACAGCGGGAGAAGAUGGUCUGUUCCUAUCUGCACACAUGGACUUAGCAACAAACCAGUCUCCUCCCAACAGAUUCUGCCCUUUUCACCAUCAAUUGCAUUUUGCUCCAGAACGGUUUUCGGGACACCAGUCUCUGACCAUGAACUCACAACAUGUUCAUGAAAAACUGCAUUCGUAUUUUCAAGAGUGGAAGGGGGAUAGGAAGGAGUUCUUCCUGGGGCUCUUCUUAAGUUUAUAUUUGCUUUCCAAAGUGUAACUUUCUGGAUUAAAUAUUGUGUCAGAA